rnacentral:rRNA from 1 species
GUGCCAGCAGCCGCGGUAAUACAGAGGUCCCGAGCGUUGUUCGGAUUCACUGGGCGUAAAGGGUGCGCAGGUGGCAUGGCAAGUUUGGUGUGAAAGCUUCGGGCUUAACCCGGAAAUGGCAUUGAAAACUGCUGUGCUGGAGGAUCGGAGGGGGGACUGGAAUUCUUGGUGUAGCAGUGAAAUGCGUAGAUAUCAAGAGGAGCACCAGUGGCGAAGGCGAGUCCCUGGACGAUACCUGACACUGAGGCACGAAAGCCAAGGGAGCAAACAGGAUUAGAUACCCCUGUAGUCC